rnacentral:rRNA from 1 species
UACGUAGGUGGCAAGCGUUGUCCGGAUUUAUUGGGUUUAAAGGGUGCGUAGGCGGUCAAAUAAGUCAGUUGUGAAAUACGGCAGCUCAACUGUCGAGGUGCAAUUGAUACUGUUUGACUUGAGUACUGUUGAGGUAGGCGGAAUGGACGGUGUAGCGGUGAAAUGCUUAGAGAUCGUCCAGAACACCGAUAGCGAAGGCAGCUUACUAAAGAGUAACUGACGCUGAGGCACGAAAGUGUGGGGAUCAAACAGG